CAUGGACGCCCCCGCCCCGAGACGUGCCCACCUAGAGAGCCGCUCGCUCACCUUGCUACCCGGCCCACACCCGUCUCGUUCUCCUCCUCAUCCCGGCGCUCCUACUACUCCCCUCCAUGGCGCGCAGGUACACCUCCUCGUUCCCCCACCUGCCUCCCUGUUCCACUUUUGUUGCCUCCUUACAGGCAAAAGCUCUGUGGGGUCCCUUUGCUACGUGGGGGACGAAUCAGCGAGGGCGCUUAGCGUCGGCGAGGAGCUCAUGGCCAAGAGACCAUGCCGUUGGGUGUACAGGAUCGACGGACUGCCCUAUCUGUGUGGUACGAAAUCAAGAUCUGUUGGGGGACAGGCUCUGUUGGUGUUCAAUUUGCUAUCUUGUUUUAGUUCUUGCUUGUUUCGAUAGCCAUAUUAAUUUUCGUACAGAUCUGGUAGGGUUUUGUUUCCCCUGCGAGGCGAUUUCCUUUUUCUCUGUUGUGGUUGGGGUUGGGUGGGGUUAGGUUUGGUUAAACAAUUCCCCUUUUGGAUUAGAGGGGACAGGGCAAUGAACUAAUUUGCCAACUCAAGCCCUUGCUGUACACAUGAUUUAAUCAUGGGUUACGGCACAUGUACCUUUUAGAUCGCUUGCAAAAGGUUGUUUAGCUAUCCUAUUAGACAUGUGUAGUUCUUUACUUAUUCGUCGGAUGAAGAUGAAGUAAUGGAGGAGAUUAGGUUGGGGCCAAAAGGCGGUCUCAUGUACUGCAUGGAGUAUCCUAUUAUUUUUGCAGUGUCUUUGUUCAUUCUAUAGGCUGCCAUAUAAGCCCAUUGUUUCCUUUGGCUUUUUCCAUACGUGAUUAGUCGUACCUGAUUUUGCCACCUAAUUUUUCAUUAUAUUUUUCUUUUUUGUUUUGUUGUCAUGUGAAUUGUCUCCAUUCAUGUUUGUGGUUCGCUUUAUUACUUAACUAUUUUCUGAGGUAUAUUUUUUUUUGUAAAAAACGGAUUAUCGAUCUGUCAUCCUUGUAUAACCAUCUGGUGUCUACAUAAGUUUGAUAUCUAACACCAAGGCCAGACAAUGAUUGUAUAACCAUCUGGUGUCCGUAUAAGCUUUGAAAAUGUCAUCCUUUUGCAAGCGAUCAAAUAUCUUCUAGCAUUAUUAUUCAGUUGGCAAGACUGGUCGCCAGAAGCUACUCAAGCAGAAAGGAUGUGUUGUUUGCAUCACGGGCCUUUAGUGCUUCAGGUAACCAAACCUUGCUUUCUCUCAAACUGGUUUGUUGUGUUAUAGAACAAAAGGAAGAAAAUUACAGAUUGUUACAGUAUUCCUGGAAGAAAUACUUCCAUUGCUGGACCAUGGGUUACUUAAUAAGUAGAAUUUCUGGGCUCCUAAUAAAGUACCAUAAUGUUCUGUUAGGACUAUGUUUUUAUGCAGCAUAAUCAGGUUAUGAAGCACGAAUUGUACAUCAGCUUUCAGGUGCCAAGUUCAGUUACCUUGAAUAUUUUAAGUAAUGGUAUGUUGAUUCCACUUUUAUUAGUUCUUUGAGUUCCAUUUCCAGCGCUGAUCUUGAUGCCUAAUCAACUAUUGAGAGCAGACAGCCAUGAGCCUGAGACAAAUGGAAAGUACAAAUUAUUGCAUGGAUUAUUAAUCAUCACAUGCCAUAGAUAAAAAUUCCUGUUGUUAUAGCCAUAACAUCGUAAGGUUAGUUGAUAAUUACGCACAUACGAGAAGUAAAAAAAUAGAAGUUUGACGUUAAUAGAAAUGGGGAUACUUCUCUUUUCAGAAAAAGAGCUUAAGAAGGUCAUCAGAAAGGGAAUCAACAACACGUGGUGGGCAACAAAAACAACUUCAAUGUCCUAAGAAAUCUAGAAAUUCUUUCUCUGAGUUUUUCUUUUCUGUUCUAGAGUCAAUAGCUGACUGUUUCUGUUAACUGAAAAUGUAUUUGUCACACAAUGCUUAUAUAAACCACUUGAUUAAGUUAUAUUAUGUUAGGACAUUUUGGCAGUCCACUAUUUAUAUCUGGUUUGAUGUUGUUAUAAAGUGAUCUCUGCUAUCUAAUCUAUUUUGGUGGUCGUAAAGUUUUGCUUGCUUGAAAUUUGAUCACAUUAGUUGAAUUUUGUCUAUAAUCACAUCAGAUGAGAAAUUAUACAGCCUUCUUGCUUAAAUGUACAGACCACUGUUUAAUUUUUUGAACUUUAUUUCCCACCGCGAGAAACUGAUUUAUUUCCACCGAGAGAAACUGGUUUAUUUCCAUCUUUUCUUCUUUUUAGAACCGGAGGCUAUCCUCUAGCUUGAUAAUCUCACCUGCAAGAUUCGUUUUUUUGGCUAAUCCAGUCUGGCGACCUAGGUCUCUUGGCUUGCCCGUAGCCCGCCGGUCAGUAAUGGCGCAGGAUGAUCCGGUUGUUUCUGCUCAGUGGAUGCACGAGCACCUAGUGAUGCCUGAUGUUAAGGUAAAAAAUCAUCUAGUUUGCGUGUUCAUAUUCACUUCAGAGACACUUCAAUAAUGCUUCCUUCAUCGAAGAAGAAAGUUCAGAGAUAUACUUCUAUCCCCUGCGUUAGUGGUAUGUGAGAAUAUAACAGUUUGGUUGUCUAUCAAUUUGAUCUUCCUUUUUAUGCGUUGUGUUCUUAUUACUCCCAGAAAUAAUUAGAGGGUUAGGGACAUAUGUGCUUUGUGGCAGUUAUCAGCUUGUUUUAGGUUUUGGAUGCUUCCUGGUACAUGCCGGUAGAGAACAGGGAAUCAUGGAAAGAAUAUCAGGUUUUCAGCAUCAGCUAUCUCAUCUUCCUUUUUGAGAUAAUUGUUGGAGCUAAAGUGUUCUGGUAUCCUCAGGUGGCACACAUCCCCGGCUAGGCAAAUAGUUGGUUCAGCUGUACUUGUGAAAGCUCGAGAUAGACCAGAAAUUGAGGAUGAUGAAUUCUAUUCACUUGACCUUUAUUGUCAAGGAUACAGGCAAGCUCGUAGGAACAGUUGGUCAGGGUUUCAAUUUCGGAGGUGGAGAUCUUCUACAGGUGAUAAUGGGCUCUUCUGAGGGUACUACUGUUGAUCCAGAUUCAGAAAAUCAAGAUUCAAUCUCAUCACGUGAGCAUGUGUGGACUCCAUUUGCUGAAGAUAUUGUACCUGAUGUUGAUAUGGGAAGCAGAGAAAUGCGGAUUACACCUCCGAAGGGGUUACUUGAGCUCAAUUCUCGUUCUGACAAGAGAUCGAAGAAAGAAAGGCAUGCGAUGGUUAGGUCUGCAUCAUCCUUUUCUAGCAUCCAUGCUCGCAUCUACAGCCAUGAUUUGCAUCUUAAAAGAAAUAAAGAAUGUGUCAGGUCCAUAGUACUGAAAUGUUGAUAGCAGCAGAUGUCCUGGCUGAAGAUUGUAGAUAUUAUCUUGCAUGUAUUAUAACAAAUGACUCCUCCCCUCACGAUGACUUUGCGGACAGAUGUCUCAAUUCUAGUGGUGGAGCUACGAACAACAAUCUGAUGUCCUGAUCGAGAGCGAUGGAGCUAAUAUUUGAACUUGUGUGUUUGAACUUGUGAACUAAAAAUGUGAACUAUGGAUGUGAACUUGUGUGAAUUUGUGAACUUAUUUAUUUGGACUUAUGUGAAUUUGUGAACUUAUAUAUUUGGACUUGUGUGAAUUUGUGAUAUGAACAUAUAUCAAUGUGUUUGAAAUCUA